rnacentral:rRNA from 1 species
UACGAGGGGGGCUAAUGUUGUUCGGAAUCACUGGGCGUAAAGGGAGCGUAGGCGGGCUUCUAAGUUAGGUGUUUAAUCCCAGGGCCCAACCCUGGUCGUGCACUUAAAACUGGGAGUCUUGAAUAGUGGAGAGGUCAGUGGAAUUGGGGGUGUAGCGGUGGAAUGCGUAGAGAUCCGGAAGAACACCAGUGGCGAAGGCGGCUCACUGGCCCGGUACUGACGCUGAGGUGCGAAAGCGUGGGGAGCAAACAGG